rnacentral:tRNA from 1 species
GGAAUUGUGGCUCAGCAGUAGAGUACUCACUUAUCACGUGAGAAGCCCUGGGUUCAAUCCUCAGCACCA